rnacentral:rRNA from 1 species
UACGUAUGGUGCAAGCGUUAUCCGGAUUUACUGGGCGUAAAGGGAGCGCAGGCGGUGCGCCAAGUCUGAUGUGAAACCCCGGGGCUCAACCCCGGGCAUGCAUUGGAAACUGGCGGGCUGGAGUGCCGGAGAGGUAAGCGGAAUUCCUAGUGUAGCGGUGAAAUGCGUAGAUAUUAGGAGGAACACCAGCGGCGAAGGCGGCUUACUGGACGGCAACUGACGCUGAGGCUCGAAAGCGUGGGGAGCAAACAGG